rnacentral:rRNA from 1 species
CCUACGGGCGGCAGCAGUGAGGAAUAUUGGUCAAUGGACGAGAGUCUGAACCAGCCAAGUAGCGUGAAGGAUGACUGCCCUAUGGGUUGUAAACUUCUUUUAUAUGGGAAUAAAACGUUCCACGUGUGGGAUUUUGUAUGUACCAUAUGAAUAAGGAUCGGCUAACUCCGUGCCAGCAGCCGCGGUAAUACGGAGGAUCCGAGCGUUAUACGGAUUUAUUGGGGUUAAAGGGAGCGUAGGUGGAUUGUUAAGUCAGUUGUGAAAGUUUGCGGCUCAACCGUAAAAUUGCAGUUGAAACUGGCAGUCUUGAGUACAGUAGAGGUGGGCGGAAUUCGUGGUGUAGCGGUGAAAUGCUUAGAUAUCACGAAGAACUCCGAUUGCGAAGGCAGUUCACUGGACUGCAACUGACACUGAGGCUCGAAAGUGUGGGUAUCAAACAGGAUUAGAUACCCGUGUAGUC